rnacentral:rRNA from 1 species
GUCAUAUGCUUGUCUCAAAGAUUAAGCCAUGCAUGUCUCAGUACAAGCCAAAUUAAGGUGAAACCGCGAAAGGCUCAUUAAAUCAGUUAUGGUUCCUUAGAUCGUACCCACAAUUACUUGGAUAACUGUGGUAAUUCUAGAGCUAAUACAUGCAAACAGAGCCCCGACCGGAGACGGAAGGAGUGCUUUUAUUAGAUCAAAACCAAUCGGUGGCGGGUUCGCUCGUCAUCGUACAACUUGGUGACUCUGAAUAACUUUACGCUGAUCGCACGGUCAUCGCACCGGCGACGCAUCUUUCAAAUGUCUGCCUUAUCAACUGUCGAUGGUAGGUUCUGCGCCUACCAUGGUUGUAACGGGUAACGGGGAAUCAGGGUUCGAUUCCGGAGAGGGAGCCUGAGAAACGGCUACCACAUCCAAGGAAGGCAGCAGGCGCGCAAAUUACCCACUCCCGGCACGGGGAGGUAGUGACGAAAAAUAACGAUACGGGACUCAUCCGAGGCCCCGUAAUCGGAAUGAGUACACUCUAAACCCUUUAACGAGGAUCAAUUGGAGGGCAAGUCUGGUGCCAGCAGCCGCGGUAAUUCCAGCUCCAAUAGCGUAUAUUAAAGUUGUUGCGGUUAAAAAGCUCGUAGUCGAAUUUGUGUCUCGCGCCGCCGGUUCAUCGUCCGCGGUGUUAACUGGCGAGUCGCGAGACGUCCUGCCGGUGGGCUUAGCUCGCGAGGGCGGCCCAACUCAAUCCUGCCGCGGUGCUCUUCAUUGAGUGUCGAGGUGGGCCGGCACGUUUACUUUGAACAAAUUAGAGUGCUUAAAGCAGGCUAAAACUUCGCCUGAAUACUGUGUGCAUGGAAUAAUGGAAUAGGACCUCGGUUCUAUUUUGUUGGUUUUCGGAACCCCGAGGUAAUGAUUAAUAGGAACGGAUGGGGGCAUUCGUAUUGCGACGUUAGAGGUGAAAUUCUUGGAUCGUCGC